rnacentral:rRNA from 1 species
UACGUAGGGUGCGAGCGUUAAUCGGAAUUACUGGGCGUAAAGCGUGCGCAGGCGGUUUUGUAAGCCAGAUGUGAAAGCCCCGGGCUCAACCUGGGAAUGGCAUUUGGGACUGCAAGGCUGGAGUUUGGCAGAGGAGACUGGAAUUCCUGGUGUAGCAGUGGAAUGCGUAGAUAUCAGGAGGAAUACCGAUGGCGAAGGCAGGUCUCUGGGCUAUAACUGACGCUCAUGCACGAAAGCGUGGGGAGCAAACAGG